rnacentral:piRNA from 1 species
UUUCAGUUAUGUGAUAAUGUA